rnacentral:rRNA from 1 species
UACGGUAGGGGGCUAGCGUUGUCCGGAAUCAUUGGGCGUAAAGCGCGUGUAGGCGGCUUGGUAAGUCCGUUCUGAAAGCCCGGGGCUCAACCCCGGGAGGCGGAUGGAUACUGUCAAGCUCGAGUCCGGAAGAGGCAAGUGGAAUUCCCGGUGUAGCGGUGGAAUGCGCAGAUAUCAGGAAGAACACCAACGGCGAAGGCAGCUCGCUAGGACGGUACUGACGCUGAGACGCGAAAGCGUGGGGAGCGAACAGG